rnacentral:rRNA from 1 species
UACGUAGGGUGCGAGCGUUGUCCGGAAUUAUUGGGCGUAAAGAGCUUGUAGGCGGUUUGUCGCGUCUGCCGUGAAAAUCCGAGGCUCAACCUCGGACUUGCGGUGGGUACGGGCAGACUAGAGUGUGGUAGGGGAGACUGGAAUUCCUGGUGUAGCGGUGAAAUGCGCAGAUAUCAGGAGGAACACCGAUGGCGAAGGCAGGUCUCUGGGCAUUAACUGACGCUGAGGAGCGAAAGCAUGGGGAGCGAACGGG